AUUUCCCUCAGUACAUUGACCUUGGCACCUCUCUUCUCCGGAGGCUCUUAUCCUGACAGGUCUGCCCAGGGUGUUUCCCAAAUUCUGGAAUUACAGACAUUCAACACCAUGCCUGACAUUGUCAGCCUCAGGUCAACCAGUUUCUGCCACCAGAACGGAGAAAAGAUGGAGGAGGGGCAGUAGAGACUGGACUGCUAUUGGAAAUGAUGAAGCCUCGCUGCAAAUGUGUCAGCCAUGCUAGCCUUCUACCCUCACCCACCAAGUGUCUUUUCUCCACCCCCAUCCCGGGGCAAGGGGCACGGAGGCGGCAGAGGAGGCCCAGUAUGACUGGGACUUUCAGCACCAGUCAGUGGUUGUAUGAGGACAAAUCCCACCUCAUGGCUUUUUCUUAAAAAUCUAUGAUUUGUUUUGCUUCCUAUAAACUUAUUAUUAUUUCAAAAUAAAAAGCUUUUUUUUUCACUACUAAA
rnacentral:lncRNA from 1 species